rnacentral:rRNA from 1 species
UACGUAGGGACCAAGCGUUGUUCGGAGUUACUGGGCGUAAAGGGCGCGUAGGCGGCUUGACAAGUCACUUGUGAAAUCUCUGGGCUUAACCCAGAACGGCCAAGUGAAACUGUCGCGCUAGAGUGCGGAAGGGGCAAUCGGAAUUCUUGGUGUAGCGGUGAAAUGCGUAGAUAUCAAGAGGAACACCUGAGGUGAAGACGGGUUGCUGGGCCGACACUGACGCUGAUGCGCGAAAGCCAGGGGAGCAAACGGG